GGACGUACAGUCUGUCAACCAAGAUGGUAACGUCCGUAUGUUCAUGAACGUUGAGCUGCAGGAUUAUAAGAGCAACAACAUAUCAGCAACAUUUUGGGGCGACUUUGUGGAACAGAUCAAGCCACAUUUGAUUGAAUCGAAUGAUAAGCCUGUUGUCGUCGUCAUGCAGUUAGUUAGAGCACAUCGAUUUCGAGAACAAUAUUCAGUGAGGAACACUUGGCACGUUUCCAAGCUUUGGAUCAAUUCAGAUCUUCCUCAAAUUCUUGACUUUAGCUCCAGGUUUCUAUAAGUUAUGCUAAAUUUAUGGUCAUUUCAAAUUAAAUUUUAUUCUUACUCUUUAUUAACGUAUCUCAAGUUACAAUAUGAAACAAAAUCGUCUCAGUGUGUGGAGAAAGCUCACAAAGAACUACUCAAAUUUCAUCUCAAAAGACUCAUUCUAUUGAAGAUGAAUUAGCAUCUGGAAGUGUUGGAGUUAAAACUAUUGAGGCUUUGAUUGACUCUAAGCGUCCGGGAAACUUCUGGAUUGUAGCAACCAUUGUAUACAUAGACCUAGAUCAUGGAUGGUCUUAUUUAGCAUGCAAAAUGUGCGCAAAGAAGGUUGAGCCAGAGGGGAAUAAGUUCUAUUGUAAAAAAUGCGGGCAAGUUCCAUCUGCCAGUCAUAGGUUCAAGCUAAAAUUAGGAGUGAUAGAUGACACCGGUACAAUUAUUUUGAUGAUGUGGGAUAGGGAUGCAGUAAAAAUGAUCGGAAAGUCAGCAAAUGAUUUAAAAAAUGUUGUAUCUGAGGUAUACUACAAACUCUCCAUACAAAAUAAGACCACCAACGUGUAAAAAAUUAUCAUUAGCUC